rnacentral:miRNA from 1 species
UGAGGUAUCAAACAAUCACCUGA